UAAUCUUGUAAAUAGAAUUGUGAUGACAAAGCUUAAGAUGGGCUUAUAGUAUUACACGUGUGAAUAUAAAAGCCACCCUAAGAAACCUUUGAUUAUUUUUCUUGAAUUGUUGCUCCCAAGGACAAGGCAGCAACGUCUUUGUUGGAAAGAAUCACAUACUUCAAUAUCUCUUAUCAUAAAAAUUGAAUAUCCCACCCAAGUAAGGAAUAUCUUGUAAUGAAAAGGAAGGGCAAACAGCAAGCCGUACGUAUUGCAACAAAAUAACUCCAUUGUUGGAGAAAUGGAGAAAUUGACGUGACAAAAAUAAUAAGCAGCAAGCUCACGGCCAUGGCUGUCCCAAUCCAACUUUGGAUUUUUUUUUUAUAGCAAAAAUUAAAUUCUCAAGGGUGUUCUUCGUGCAAGGAGGCAGCAAUACAAGAAUAUUGAAUUGAGGAAGGAGAAAUUGUGAAAUUGGAACAAAUAAGUGUAGAAAUUCCUCCGAGUAAGUUAAGGCUAAAAGAGCGACAAGGCGAACGGGUUUGCGAAUACUCGCUAACAGGUACAGAUAGUCGGUUUGGUGACCCUUCAGCUUAGGACUUCUACUCAGCUGUCUUGGAGAGCUCCGUUGUUCCGGAGUUUAGAAUUUUGGUACAGAUCUUAUGAUAUAUAUAUAUAUGUUUAUCUAGGGGUACGACGGGGCCCUGUCCCAUCAUAUUUCACUGUUAGUACUCUUAGAGGUUUGUAGACAUGUAUGUGGGUUGUGUAUAAGUUCUGUUCAACUGUGUCUAUCCGAUGUGCUAUGAUAUGAUGUUCGUCUGUAGUGGCAGCCUUGGCGGCUUGCAUAUGACAUGAUGAUGAUGUGUAGUGGCAGCCUUGUCGGCUUGCGUACUAUUUUAUGAUUUGAUCAGUUAUGACUCCUCAG